UACGUAGGGUGCGAGCGUUGCCCGGAUUUAUUGGGCGUAAAGAGCGUGUAGGCGGCCUGACAGGUCUGCUGUGAAAACUCGAGGCUCAACCUCGAGAUGUCGGCGGAACCGUCUGGCUAGAGUCCGGAAGAGGAGAGUGGAAUUCCUGGUGUAGCGGUGAAAUGCGCAGAUAGUCAGGAAGAACACCUAUGGCGAAGGCAGCUCUCUGGGCGACGGUACUGACGCUGAGACGCGAAAGCGUGGGGAGCGAACAGG
rnacentral:rRNA from 1 species